GGAAAGGUGCCCGGAGCGGUUGAUCGGGGACCAGCGAGAGGUCGGACCCCCAGGGGUCCACGCAGGUUCGAAUCCUGCCCUCUCCU
rnacentral:tRNA from 1 species